rnacentral:rRNA from 1 species
ACGCUCGACACCUACGAGAGGCAGCAGUGGGGAAUAUUGCACAAUGGGGGAAACCCUGAUGCAGCGACGCCGCGUGAGCGAAGAAGUAUUUCGGUAUGUAAAGCUCUAUCAGCAGGGAAGAAACUGACGGUACCUGACUAAGAAGCACCGGCUAAAUACGUGCCAGCAGCUGCGGUAAUCUGAGCGGGCUGGCAAGGC